rnacentral:lncRNA from 1 species
UCCAUUUUGGCACCUUUUGAAUACCAUUUUGGUGUUUCACCUUCAUGCAACUUAUUCUGUUAAAACUCGAAUUUCCUGUGGCAUAGGUUUGUAUCUUUUAAAAUACUUACUAUUUACUCUCAGGAUUCAAUAGUCAAGUGUUAAAUCUUCGAUUUCAUAUGCAUUAUUUGAAAAUACUUGAAUGGUUAGAAAUGGGCUUUCCCAACUAGGGAACAAUUUGCCCAAAGUCCUAUUCCUUUGAUCCAUAAGAAAAAUAACUUUC